rnacentral:rRNA from 1 species
CCCUUAGAUGUUCUGGGCCGCACGCGCGCUACACUGUUCGACGCAGCGAGUCUUAACCUUGACCGAAAGGUUUGGGUAAUCUUCAGCAAAGUCGAACGUGAUGGGGAUCGAUCAUUGCAAUUAUUGAUCGUGAACGAGGAAUUCCUAGUAAGUGCAAGUCAUCAGCUUGCGCUGAUUACGUCCCUUCCCUUUGUACACACCGCCCGUCGCUACUACCGAUUGAAUGGUUUAGUGAGAUCUCUGGAUUGACGCUGGCUAGGGGGCGACCCUUGGCCAGACUGUUGAGAAACUGCUCAAACUUGAUCAUUUAGAGGAAGUAAAAGUCGUAACA